GAAAGCCUAGCCUGAACAAGACUUCACACAGAAGAUGGUUACAAAAAUGACUCCAAAGGUGGCAGUAUCCUUUAGGCUGCAGGGAGAGAGGUAAUGUCUAAACCUUUCUUACACCUGGCUCAAAUGUCAGUGAUCAGGGAAGCCUGGGGCAGUGUUUCUUAUUAGGUUUCUGUAAUAUGACGCACACCCAGAUAAGUAAGCCACUCAUUUUUGUGUCUUGAGAGAAAGGUAGGGGGAAGUGUGGACAUGUCUGGUGGGGUUUCUGUCCUGUCCUUUUUCUCAGGAUAUGGGCUAAGAAGAGAAGACUGGCUACAGGGAAGCAAUGAUACAAGCUCAACUGUAGUCAAAAGUACUUCAGUAGGCAGUAGCUAUCCUGUGUGUACUACCUUAGAAUAAGUCUCUGAGAAGAUCUAUUUAUUUAUAAAAUCCAGCCUUCUACACAUCUUGAAAAGGAAGAUCAGAGGAUUAUACACACUGCUGGAGGCAAGGGUGACCAGUUGCAUACAGCAGGUGGUAGAAUGAGCCAGGAAUACUUAGAUGCUUUCUGAACACCAGUAUGAGCAUCAGAGUGUGAAAAAUCAACAGUCUCCAGUUCUUGUUGAUUUACCUAAUUUGCAGUGAAUUGGCUAAGAAUCUUAUCUAAGAGUAGAUGAGAUGAACACUCCAUUAAGACACACUGCAGACAAAAUUUUAACUUGCAGAGAAAUGAUAUUUAUGCCAUGGCAGUGUCACAGGUGAAAUGCAGGCCUGAACAGUCUUCUUUCCAAGAG
rnacentral:lncRNA from 1 species